GCUGGGCAUGGUGGUGGGUGCCUGUAGUCCCAGCUACUUGGGAGGCUGAGGCAGGAGAAUCGCUUGAACCCAGGAGGUGGAGGUUGCAGUGAGCUGAGGUCACGCCACUGCCCUCCAGCCUGGGCAAUAGAGCGAGACUCCGUCUCAA
rnacentral:SRP_RNA from 1 species